GAGUUUGAUCCUGGCUCAGAACGAACGCUGGCGGCAUGCCUAACACAUGCAAGUCGAACGGGAUCCAGGCUUCGGCCUGGUGAGAGUGGCGGACGGGUGAGUAACGCGUGGGAACCUGCCCAAUGGUCUGGGAUAACCGCGGGAAACUGCGGCUAAUACCGGAUAAGCCCGAGAGGGGAAAGAUUUAUCGCCGAUGGAGGGGCCCGCGUCCGAUUAGGUAGUUGGUGAGGUAACGGCUCACCAAGCCGACGAUCGGUAGCUGGUCUGAGAGGAUGAUCAGCCACACUGGGACUGAGAUACGGCCCAGACUCCUACGGGAGGCAGCAGUGGGGAAUAUUGGACAAUGGGGGCAACCCUGAUCCAGCAAUGCCGCGUGAGUGAUGAAGGCCUUAGGGUUGUAAAGCUCUUUUGGCGGGGACGAUGAUGACGGUACCCGCAGAAUAAGCCCCGGCUAACUUCGUGCCAGCCGCCGCGGUAAC
rnacentral:rRNA from 1 species